rnacentral:rRNA from 1 species
AUUGAACGCUGGCGGCAGGCCUAACACAUGCAAGUCGAGCGGAUGAGAAGAGCUUGCUCUUCGAUUCAGCGGCGGACGGGUGAGUAAUGCCUAGGAAUCUGCCCUGGUAGUGGGGGACAACGUUUCGAAAGGAACGCUAAUACCGCAUACGUCCUACGGGAGAAAGCAGGGGACCUUCGGGCCUUGUGCUAUCAGAUGAGCCUAGGUCGGAUUAGCUAGUUGGUGAGGUAAUGGCUCACCAAGGCGACGAUCCGUAACUGGUCUGAGAGGAUGAUCAGUCACACUGGAACUGAGACACGGUCCAGACUCCUACGGGAGGCAGCAGUGGGGAAUAUUGGACAAUGGGCGAAAGCCUGAUCCAGCCAUGCCGCGUGUGUGAAGAAGGUCUUCGGAUUGUAAAGCACUUUAAGUUGGGAGGAAGGGCAUUAACCUAAUACGUUAGUGUUUUGACGUUACGACAGAAUAAGCACCGGCUAACUCUGUGCCAGCCCGG